rnacentral:rRNA from 1 species
UACGUAGGGGGCAAGCGUUGUCCGGAUUAUUGGCGUAAAGAGCGUGUAGGCGGCCAGACAGGUCAGCUGUGAAAACUCGAGGCUCAACCUCGAGACGUCGGUUGAAACCGUCUGGCUAGAGUCCGGAAGAGGAGAGUGGAAUUCCCGGUGUAGCGGUGAAAUGCGCAGAUAUCGGGAAGAACACCCGUGGCGAAGGCGGUUCUCUGGGACGGUACUGACGCUGAGACGCGAAAGCGUGGGGGAGCGAACAGG